rfam:Mus musculus chromosome 18, GRC primary reference assembly.
GCUGGGCGCGGUGGCGCACGCCUGUAGUCCCAGCUACUCCGGAGGCUGAGACAGGAGGAUCGCUUGAGUCCAGGAGUUCUGGGCUGUAGUGCGCUAUGCCGAUCCGGUGUCUGCACUAAGUUCGGCAUCAAUAUAGUGACCUCCCGGGAGCGGGGGACCACCAGGUUACCUAAGGAGAGGUGAAUGGCCCAGGUCAGAAAUGGAGCAGGUCAAAACUCCCGUGCUGAUCAGAAGGAGAAGACAAGCUGUGUUUAUUUCACAGUUCUCCAGUGGCCAGAAGGAAGUGGAGGAGAAU